rnacentral:tRNA from 1 species
CCAGUGUAGCCCAGUGGUAGAGCAGCUGAUUCGUAAUCAACAGGUCGAGGGUUCGAAUCCCUCUGCUGGCU